GAUGAACGCUGACAGAAUGCUUAACACAUGCAAGUCUACUUGAUUCUACUUCGGUAGUUGAUGGUGGCGGACGGGUGAGUAACGCGUAAAGAAUCUGCCCUUUAGUUUGGGAUAACCUUUGGAACGGAGGCUAAUACCGGAUAUUAUGGAGACGUUGCAUGGCUACCCCAUGAAAGGCAUAUGCGCUAGAGGAUGACUUUGCGUCCCAUUAGUUAGUUGGUGAGGUAAUUGCUCACCAAGACCGCGAUGGGUAGCCGGCCUGAGAGGGUGAUCGGCCACAAGGGAACUGAGACACGGUCCUUACUCCUACGGGAGGCAGCAGUGGGGAAUAUUGGACAAUGGGCCACAAGCCUGAUCCAGCAAUUCUGUGUGCACGAUGAAGGUCUUCGGAUUGUAAAGUGCUUUCAGUAGGGAAGAAAAAAAUGACGGUACCUACAGAAGAAGCGACGGCUAAAUAUGUGCCAGCAGCCGCGGUAAUAC
rnacentral:rRNA from 1 species